UGCUGAACGUGGCGCCAUUUUGAAAACUUGAUUGGGACUUGUUUUCGCUUGACAACGGAGUACGUAAUCUGUCUGGAAGCGACACUUAUAAGAUGAAUCUUAUUUGAAGGUUCCCUCUUGAAAAAAUACUUGUAAGCAUGUCUGCCCGACCUCGUCCAGUGACAGCAACAGUGACAAAGCCUCUUUGGAUGUUAGUUCCUGAUGCUGAUAGUGUUGUUAACCAACGAAAAUCCUACUCAUCAGAUGGUUCAACUGCAUCUUUAACAUCUAUUCUUGACCAUGAUAGCUAUAUAAGUGAACCAGAGCUAAGUGAUGAAAAACUUAAUCUUACAGAACAACAAGAAGUAGUUAAGAAACUGAACAAAAGGGAAAGAAAAAGCAUUCAAUCAGUUAAGCAGAGAAGGAAAGUAUUCCACCAAGUGGGCAUUAGAGAACAGAAUAAUAAUAAUUCAAUAAGUGAAAGAUACUCGCAGCUGAAGGAUAUUCAUUUAGCUGAAAAUGGUUUGUCUGCAUGGGAGAGAUGGUUGAUACAGAAAGCUCAGCAAGAGAGAAAGGAGAAGACUGAAGCACUGCAACAGAAAAAGAAGAAAGAACAAGAAAAGGCAGCAAAAGAAAAGGAGAAAGAGCAAAAACUGAAGAGAGGAAGUGAGUUAAUACAAGACUGGUUAGAAAGAAAGAGCCAUCAAGAGAAAUUUAACAGGAAAAUGGAAAGCCUAAAAAUUGAGCAGGAAACAAAGGAUAAAGAAAAAAGAGAGGAGUUGCGUCAGAAAGCUGAUGAAAAUUUUGCAAAGUGGAUAAAAACCAAACAAAAAGAGGAAAAAGAAAGGAAAAUAAAAGAGAAAGAGCAGAAGCAGAAAGAGGAGGAACUGCGUAGGAAGAAAAAAGAGCAAGCAGAUGUUGAAUUUAAGGAAUGGCUGAAGAAGCACCCAAACAGACCACAGUCAGCACCUCCACUUAAAGCAGGUUCAGGUCUUGAUCCUGCAGACACAACCCGAGUGCCGCAAGGUCGCCAUCUAUUAUAGCUUGGUAUAUUUCACUGUCUUCGAAUGCCAUCAUUGUGACGGAACCUUCAACAGCAGUCAAGCGUCAGAAAAUGUAAAGCAAGCUACCCUUGCAACUUCAACUAUCCCAAACCCAGCUAUGUCAAUCCUAUUCCUUGGCAGCACCCAGUGAUACCAAAAGAAAAGCAGGAGAAACCCAAGCGGCCGAAAACAAAAAAAUAUGUGUGGA
rnacentral:misc_RNA from 1 species